rnacentral:lncRNA from 1 species
CUAUUUUAGCGGCUGGGAACUUUUAUUUCCUCCUUCCCUCCUGGCUUUGCUUCCCUUCAGCUGCUGCCUCCAGAUCGCAUCAAGCACCCCCCGUGGGGGUUUCAAAGGUAGAAACUGCAGCCUUGGAGAUGCUCCGCGGUCCUGCUCAGGGAAUGAACAGAAUGGGCUGGACUUUAACAGGCAGAUUAAAACCGAGGACCUCAGCGACUCCUUGCAACCUGCC